UUAAGGUCACGUUUAUUUGGGGUUAUGGAGAUUUAGGGUCACGGUUUUUUGGGGUCAUGGUCAUUUGGGAUUAUGGAGUAUUUGGGGUUAUGGAGAUUUGGGGUCAUGGUUAUUUGGGGUCAAGUUAUUUGGGGUUAUGGAGAUUUAGGGUCAUGGUGAUUUGGGGUCGUGAUUAUUUGGGAUUGUGGAUAUGGGGUCAUGGUUAUUUGGGGUUAUGGAGGUUUAGGGUCAU
rnacentral:lncRNA from 1 species